UGUGUAGGCGGCCGCGCAAGUCGGAUGUGAAAGCCCCGGGCUCAACCCGGGAAGUGCACCCGAAACUGCGUGGCUCGAGUACCGGAGAGGUUGGUGGAAUUCUCGGUGUAGAGGUGAAAUUCGUAGAUAUCGAGAGGAACACCGGUGGCGAAGGCGGCCAACUGGACGAGUACUGACGCUGAGACACGAAAGCGUGGGGAGCAAACAGGAUUAGAUACCCUGGUAGUCCACGCCGUAAACGAUGGGUGCUAGGUGUCACGGGCUUUGACUCCUGUGGUGCCGUAGCCAACGCAUUAAGCACCCCGCCUGGGAAGUACGGCCGCAAGGCUAAA
rnacentral:rRNA from 1 species